rnacentral:piRNA from 1 species
ACUAGUUCUCAAGUGUGAACUCUGUAGAUG